CGGCUUCCUACGGGAGGCAGCAGUGGGGAAUUUUACGCAAUGGGGGAAACCCUGACGUAGCGACACCGCGUGAGCGAAGAAGGCCUUAGGGUCGUAAAGCUCUUUCGCCUGGGAACAAGAGAAGUUGGCUAAUACCCGACAGAUUUGAGCGUACCAGGUAAAGAAGCACCGGCUAACUCCGUGCCAGCAGCUGCGGUAAUACGGAGGGUGCAAGCAUUAAUCGGAUUUAUUGGGCGUAAAGGGCGCGUAGGCGGGAAUAAAAGUCAGAUGUGAAAUCCCGGGGCUCAACCUCGGAACAGCAUUUGAAACUCUAUCUCUGGGGGGUAGGCGGAGAAAACGGAAUUCCACAAGUAGCGGUGAAAUGCGUAGAUAUGUGGAAGAACACCGGUGGCGAAGGCGGUUUUCUAGCUUAUUCCUGACGCUGAGGCGCGAAAGCAAGGGGAUCAAACAGGAUUAGAUACCCCGGUAGUCCAAGC
rnacentral:rRNA from 1 species